rnacentral:rRNA from 1 species
UACGGAGGGUGCAAGCGUUAUCCGGAUUCACUGGGUUUAAAGGGUGCGUAGGUGGGCAGGUAAGUCAGUGGUGAAAUCCCCGAGCUUAACUCGGAAACUGCCGUUGAUACUAUCUGCCUUGAAUAUUGUGGAGGUGAGCGGAAUAUGUCAUGUAGCGGUGAAAUGCUUAGAUAUGACAUAGAACACCAAUUGCGAAGGCAGCUCGCUACACAUAUAUUGACUCUGAGGCACGAAAGCGUGGGGAUCAAACAGG